ACCUUCUCUUUGCCGUAUGGCUCAGAUCAAGUGUAGUACCUGUUCUAAUCAGCUUAAUCCCUGAUUGUUCUGCUCAGCAGAAUAUCUGAUUAUUCCACUCUUUGGACCUCGCGACAUGGCCUCUGUGCUUGCAUAUGCCUUGGUGCACUGUGUCACUGGGCUUACACUACCCCGAGUCGACGCGACCUCUU
rnacentral:snRNA from 1 species